rnacentral:rRNA from 1 species
UAUGAAGUUGGAAUCGCUAGUAAUCGCGGAUCAGCAUGCCGCGGUGAAUACGUUCCCGGGCCUUGUACACACCGCCCGUCACACCAUGAGAGUCGGGAACACCCGAAGUCCGUAGCCUAACCGCAAGGGGGGCGCGGCCGAAGGUGGGUUCGAUAAUUGGGGUGAAGUCGUAACAAGGUAGC